rnacentral:rRNA from 1 species
CGGAGGAUCCGGGCGUUAUCCGGAUUUAUUGGGUUUAAAGGGUGCGUAGGUGGCCUGUUAAGUCAGGGGUGAAAGACGGUAGCUCAACUAUCGCAGUGCCCUUGAUACUGAUGGGCUUGAAUGAACUAGAGGUAGGCGGAAUGUGACAAGUAGCGGUGAAAUGCAUAGAUAUGUCACAGAACACCAAUUGCGAAGGCAGCUUACUAUGGUUUUAUUGACACUGAGGCACGAAAGCGUGGGGAUCAAACAGGAUUAGAUACCCUGGUAGUCCACGCCCUAAACGAUGAAUACUCGAUGUUGGCGAUAUACGGUCAGCGUCUAAGCGAAAGCGUUAAGUAUUCCACCUGGGGAGUACGCCCGCAAGGGUG